AUAUAAUUUUUGUGUAUUAUUCAUCAAUCCAUUAUCAUACAAUAAUUUUUAAAACGCAUUAACUGAUCGCCUAACCUGAAAUUUUAUUGCGCAUGUGCGUGGUAAUCACGAUUAAAGAUAUAAUGGUUGCCUAACGACACGGACUAAGAUUGUAAUAUAUUAUAUUUCUACCUAUAUUAUUAAUAAAUACAUAAAGUGAUUUGGAACCAAUAACGAUCAUACAUUGAUAUGAAAAUUUAAAACACAAUUUAAAAAUAAAUCAUUUACUUAACUUACAUCAUUAUAAACUCGGACCACCCAGAAACAAUGCUAUUGCAACAUACCGCAGCACAUCAAAAGAUAACACCCAAAAGCAAUAAUCACACACGGAAGCAGAUAAACAGAACGCAAUAUCGAAUGCACGGGCGCCAACGAAUUAAUGACUUCUACAUAGGGGACCACACAAUACUAUCAGGCUAAGAAAAUUAUUAAGACCGUAGAAAAAAAACAACAAUUGUGGUACCGGGCAUCCGCCGAAACACCGAAUGAUGGAAUCAUCAGCCGUAUAUUCAAUAACAAAGUAAUAAAAACUAAUUACACUAUAAACACCAUCUCACCGCCAAUAUCAAAGGAAUGAUACGAGCAUACACAAGAUGAUGCAAUCGUAUAUAACAACAAGACAAUUAAGACAACACAUACAUUCGAAUCUAAAUAUCUAGCCAGCACUCGGCAUUUAAUACAAAACGCAAUAAAAUUAAUACACGGAUGCCAACUGUAGAAAGAAGAAAGUAAGCACACGAACCAAGUGCAAAGAAUCAAGAAUGUCAAAUUACGAACUUAAUGACUUAUAACUGCUUCAUGUACUAUAUGCACUGCAUACAGAAACACGAACCUUACAUCAAGCACCAUUCAAGCGAGGCCAUAUCGACUAAUCAAUCGUCGAAAGUAAUCCCUCAUCAAAUGGCAAACCGUCAAGAAUAAAAGUUAUACAGCUAUCAGAACAAGAGACAGGCACAAUCAAGCACAAUGAUGUGUGCUUACCUCAACAAUAACGUGCGGAAAUAGUCAACACGCAAGUUUCAUUACAAUCACAAAAAGCAUACGGAUGCCUGAACCACAGCGCCAAACAGCCAGCGCACUGAUUACUGCGCAGCGAUGACUUAAGAGGGGAUAAGACCGGCUGUAUAAAACGACGUAGCGCGCUACACGCCACCGCCAGUGUACACGAAAUCAUCAUUAGAAACGGACGAUACGCAAGGACUUACGCAUUUCAAUAUCGAAGACACAAAAUUUAACUCUGAUUUUCUAAUUACGUAAACUUCUAUCAUAACUUUACUAAACGCUCAAAAGGCCAAACUUAAUCAUUACAUUAACUUUUCAAAACAUCACGUAUGAUCUUAUUGGUUUCAAAUUCAUGAUUUAUGAUGUAAAAUAGUAGAAGUGAGUCAUACGUUGCAAUAAUAACGCGCAUCGAACCACGAACGAUAAAAGAACGACUCCGAAUACAUCCAGAUCAAUAAGCACAACGUUACAGCAGUCGAGAGAGCGCACUAAGUUAGUUCAACAGCUGAUUCUGAAAGUAAUUUCAAUUGCCAUGUGAUAUUGCUUGUGACAUAGCCCGUCAGGUAACCAUUAUAUCUUUAAUCGUGGUGGUAAUUGAGUAAUAGUUGAACAGCACACUCACAUCGGCCCGCGACUAUUGUAGUAUUGUCAUGCUCCGUCUAUUAGUAUAAGGUCCAGAGGCGGACUUACCAUUUUUCCGCCCCUAGG
rnacentral:lncRNA from 1 species